GAUGAACGCUGGCGGCGUGCCUAAUACAUGCAAGUCGAGCGAACGGACGAGAAGCUUGCUUCUCUGAUGUUAGCGGCGGACGGGUGAGUAACACGUGGAGAACCUACCUAUAAGACUGGGAUAACUUCGGGAAACCGGAGCUAAUACCGGAUAAUAUUUUGAACCGCAUGGUUCAAAAGUGAAAGACGGUCUUGCUGUCACUUAUAGAUGUAUCCGCGCUGCAUUAGCUAGUUGGUAAGGUAACGGCUUACCAAGGCAACGAUGCAUAGCCGACCUGAGAGGGUGAUCGGCCACACUGGAACUGAGACACGGUCCAGACUCCUACGGGAGGCAGCAGUAGGGAAUCUUCCGCAAUGGGCGAAAGCCUGACGGAGCAACGCCGCGUGAGUGAUGAAGGUCUUCGGAUCGUAAAACUCUGUUAUUAGGGAAGAACAUAUGUGUAAGUAACUGUGCACAUCUUGACGGUACCUAAUCAGAAAGCCACGGCUAACUACGUG
rnacentral:rRNA from 1 species